rnacentral:lncRNA from 1 species
AUCAGAAAGAAUGGUUGGGCAGCAGGAGGUUGCAUGUGAAGAGAUGUUACGAAGGAGCCAAACUUGAUUGGCUAAUAUGCAGUGCUAUCUUCAAGCAGAUGACUACAAAUAUCAAAGAAUAGCUCUCCAUCAGAAGAAGUUAGGGGGUGUUUGGUUCACAAUUAGAAUCGGAAUCAGAAUCGGAAUGAGAAUAGAUUGGAAUCGAAA